rnacentral:lncRNA from 1 species
AAGAGAAUGGUAUUGGAUAUGGUCUGCAGCCCAACUCCUUUGAAAUCUGUAAAUGGAGAUUUUAGAAUUGUAGGAUGAAACUUUUAUUUUGAUUCCAGACAGAAGCUAUGCCCAACAUUCAUAUUGACUUCUUCAAUCGAAAUAGCUGGAUUGAUUUGCUUGCAUCUGAAAGGCUGAUUGCGUGGACCUGUGAUAGAUACUGUAUUGCUUUGAUUUCAUCAUCCUAUACAUUUAGAUGCGUUUUAAAGUUGUGAGAGCCAAUAUCGUAUCAAACUCAUCUCAUAUGUUUUUCCCUAAUUCAGUCCAAGGCUCUUUCAUUGAGCCACAACUUCUUGGUGCAUUUGAGAUGCUUUAGGCAAGGUCUAAAUUCAACUAUUUGGAUGCUGAUAUUGGUACUUUUCAAGCAGAUUUCUUAUAGAAUCUCCCCAUAUUUUCAAUUUCUUUAAUGGGUCAUUUUCAAACAAGGAGUAUGAUAGCUUGAGAGCUAGGGUGACUUCUUAUACAAUAUUUGUUCACUUAUGGUAAGAUUAGAGAUAUGAUUUUAAGAAGGUUUAAGUGUGUUUUUCUUAUAAAAGAUAGAUAUUUAGCAAAGUUUCAAAAAUUUAGAGAAUUAUUUAAAGUGAUUUUUGGAUUAGUAGUGUGCGUGCGGGUUUUUUUUUUUUUUUUUAAAUUUUAAAUCAUCUUCAAAUUUCAAUAUCAUUUAUUUAUGUUUUGCUUUUAAAAAAAAAUUGAAAAUUAAUUUUUAAUUAUUUAUUUAAGUCUUUUUUCAAUAUCAAAAUUGUUCUUAUUUCUAAUAAAAAAAAUUUAAGUAACGAAAGUGAUUACUUCUAUUUCUUAAACAUUGAUUUGAUGUUGGGCUGAGCUCUAUGAGUUGGGCCAACUCACAAGUCAGCGCAACAAACAUCUCUGAGGACACCCUUGUAAUUUUGAAAGAAUUGAGGGGUAAAAUGAGUCAUUUCACCACCUCUUCCCCAAAUUGUUGGUAAGAGAGCCACCAUGGAAGAACAGCGAUGGACCUUAUAACAGUGUCAACAAAACCAAUUGCUCUCCUUACAAUCACCUUAGGUAGCACCAUUUUCUUCAUACUUAUCCUCCGGCCGCAUACAUUUUCUCCAAAGCCAGACUCCAUGGCUCGAAGCUUUGUUUGUGGCUUCAUGGGUUGGGUGACUCNNNNNNNNNNNNNNNNNNNNNNNNNNNNNNNNNNNNNNNNNNNNNNNNNNNNNNNNNNNNNNNNNNNNNNNNNNNNNNNNNNNNNNNNNNNNNNNNNNNNAAAUCUGAUCAGAGGGCCCGCGGAAGCAAAAGAACCCCAAAGAGGCACGUGCAGGGCUCGGAUUGCACAAACAGGUAGGAAGGGUGGCUGGUCGGCGUCAGGCGAGCCUGGAGGAGGAAGCGCGUCGCCGGAAAGUGGCUCACGCGCCCUCACGCGCCGGCGCGUGAGAUGCAGUCGCCGGCCGGAAAAACGCGCGUGGGCGGCGCGUGGAUGGGUUUCUGGUUCCGGUGCUUUGGGACAAAUUGGAGAUCUCCUCCAGGCGCUCCUUGCGGUGUAGAAAAAAACCGUCGCCGGAAAGUUCGCCGGAAAAGUUGCCGGCGGUGAGUGUUUUCUGACGACUAUUCGACUGACUGGAAAGUGUUUUCUCCCUUGGCUCUGAGAACAGGGACUGAUGGCCGGAAUGAGAGAGAGAGAGAGAGAGAUGAUCGGAUUGAGAUAUGGCCAGAAAGAUUUGGCCGGAAUGAGUGAUGGCCUGAAUAAGAGGUGGCCAGAAGGGAUUAGGGUUUCAGAAAACUGGCUCUGAUACCAUGAAGAAUUUCUGAACUCCUUUAUUGAUAAUGAAUCGGUACACACCAUACACAUAUAUAUACACAAAUGACUGAAUAAGAAACAAUCAAUCUAGCUUAAUUCUCUCCUAAAAUUAGGAAACUAAAUCAUAAGGAAAUAUCCUAAAUGAUCUCUCCUUUUUUUUAUUCCUAAAUUAAAGUCCUAACUUUGGCAUUAUUUCAACAGAGAUUUUAGAAUUGUAGGAUGAAACUUUUAUUUUGAUUCCAGACAGAAGCUAUGCCCAACAUUCAUAUUGACUUCUUCAAUCGAAAUAGCUGGAUUGAUUUGCUUGCAUCUGAAAGGCUGAUUGCGUGGACCUGUGAUAGAUACUGUAUUGCUUUGAUUUCAUCAUCCUAUACAUUUAGAUGCGUUUUAAAGUUGUGAGAGUCAAUAUCGUAUCAAACUCAUCUCAUAUGUUUUUCCCUAAUUCAGUCCAAGGCUCUUUCAUUGAGCCACAACUUCUUGGUGCAUUUGAGAUGCUUUAGGCAAG